rnacentral:rRNA from 1 species
GAUGAACGCUGGCGGCGUGCCUAAUACAUGCAAGUCGAGCGAACGGACGAGAAGCUUGCUUUUCUGAUGUUAGCGGCGGACGGGUGAGUAACACGUGGAUAACCUACCUAUAAGACUGGGUUACUUCGGGAAACCGGGGCCUAUUCCGGAAAAUUUUUUGAACCGCCUUGGUCAAAAGUGAAAGACGGGCUUUCUUUCACCUAUUAAAUGAACCGCGCUGCAUUAGCUAGUUGGUUAGGUAACGGCUUACCAAGGCAACGAUGCAUAGCCGACCUGAGAGGGUGAUCGGCCACACUGGAACUGAGACACGGUCCAGACUCCUACGGGAGGCAGCAGUAGGGAAUCUUCCGCAAUGGGCGAAAGCCUGACGGAGCAACGCCGCGUGAGUGAUGAAGGUCUUCGGAUCGUAAAACUCUGUUAUUAGGGAAGAACAUAUGUGUAAGUAACUGUGCACAUCUUGACGGUACCUAAUCAGAAAGCCACGGCUAACUACGUG